AGAGUUUGAUCCUGGCUCAGGACGAACGCUGGCGGCGUGCCUAAUACAUGCAAGUAGAACGCUGACUACUUUAGCUUGCUAGAGUAGAAGGAGUUGCGAACGGGUGAGUAACGCGUAGGUAACCUGCCUACUAGCGGGGGAUAACUAUUGGAAACGAUAGCUAAUACCGCAUAACAGUGUUUAACACAUGUUAGAUGCUUGAAAGAUGCAAAUGCAUCACUAGUAGAUGGACCUGCGUUGUAUUAGCUAGUUGGUGGGGUAACGGCCUACCAAGGCGACGAUACAUAGCCGACCUGAGAGGGUGAUCGGCCACACUGGGACUGAGACACGGCCCAGACUCCUACGGGAGGCAGCAGUAGGGAAUCUUCGGCAAUGGGGGCAACCCUGACCGAGCAACGCCGCGUGAGUGAAGAAGGUUUUCGGAUCGUAAAGCUCUGUUGUAAGAGAAGAACGUGUGUGAGAGUGGAAAGUUCACACAGUGACGGUAACUUACCAGAAAGGGACGGCUAACUACGUGCCAGCAGCCGCGGUAAUACGUAGGUCCCGAGCGUUGUCCGGAUUUAUUGGGCGUAAAGCGAGCGCAGGCGGUUUAAUAAGUCUGAAGUUAAAGGCAGUGGCUUAACCAUUGUUCGCUUUGGAAACUGUUAAACUUGAGUGCAGAAGGGGAGAGUGGAAUUCCAUGUGUAGCGGUGAAAUGCGUAGAUAUAUGGAGGAACAUCGGUGGCGAAAGCGGCUUUCUGGACUGUAACUGACGCUGAGGCUCGAAAGCUAGGGUAGCGAACGGGAUUAGAUACCCCGGUAGUCCUAGCCGUAAACGAUGGAUACUAGGUGUGGGAGGUAUCGACCCCUUCCGUGCCGGAGUUAACGCAAUAAGUAUCCCGCCUGGGGAGUACGACCGCAAGGUUGAAACUCAAAGGAAUUGACGGGGGCCCGCACAAGCGGUGGAGUAUGUGGUUUAAUUCGACGCAACGCGAAGAACCUUACCAAGACUUGACAUUGAUUGAAAGACUUAGAGAUAAGUCCCUUCUCUUCGGAGAACAAGAAAACAGGUGGUGCAUGGCUGUCGUCAGCUCGUGUCGUGAGAUGUUGGGUUAAGUCCCGCAACGAGCGCAACCCCUAUACUAUGUUGCCAGCAUUACGGAUGGGAACUCAUAGUAGACUGCCGCGGACAACGCGGAGGAAGGCGGGGAUGACGUCAAGUCAUCAUGCCCCUUACGUCUUGGGCUACACACGUACUACAAUGGGAUGAACAGAGGGAAGCGAAAUCGCGAGGUGGAGCGGAUCCCUAAAAGCAUCUCUCAGUUCGGAUUGUAGGCUGAAACUCGCCUACAUGAAGUCGGAAUCGCUAGUAAUCGCAGGUCAGCAUACUGCGGUGAAUACGUUCCCGGGCCUUGCACUCACCGCCCGUCA
rnacentral:rRNA from 1 species